GGGGGUAUAGCUCAGUGGUAGAGCGCUCCCUUAGCAUGGGAGAGGGCUGGGUCAAUCCCAUACCUCCA
rnacentral:tRNA from 1 species